UACGUAGGGACCAAGCGUUGUUCGGAUUUACUGGGCGUAAAGGGCGCGUAGGCGGCAAUUCAAGUCAUCUGUGAAAUCUCCGAGCUUAACUCGGAACGGUCAGAUGAUACUGUUUUGCUAGAGUACAGAAGGGGCAAUCGGAAUUCUUGGUGUAGCGGUGAAAUGACGUAGAUAUCAAGAGGAACACCUGAGGUGAAGACGGGUUGCUGGGCUGAUACUGACGCUGAGGCGCGAAAGCUAGGGUAGCAAACGGG
rnacentral:rRNA from 1 species